rnacentral:snRNA from 1 species
GUGCUUGCUUCGGCAGCACGUAUACUAAAAUUUGAACGAUACUGAGAAGAUUAGCUGGACCGCUGCACAAGGAUGACAUGCAAAUUUGUGAAGCGUUCUAUUAAAAA